AUUUCAUGGCGAAACCGCAAAGGUCUUGUACGGUUCGGCCUUCCGUCCACACGAAGCCGGCGAAUCCGCUGACCGAAACCGCAAACUUCUGAAACCACCCUCGGAGGUGGUUUCAAAUCUACCCGGUUUCGUUUUGGUUUCGUGUGGACGCCUGAAACAGACUGAAACCGCAAACCAUGACGUCAUCGCCCCACCCCUCGACCUCCUAGCCAAUGGCUCUUAAGCCCGCGGAGUCUCAGAAAUCACAACAAAAAAGAUGAUGGCGGACUACAAGCUUGUAAUCGUUCUGCAGCAUAUCAUGUCCCUUGUUGGGUUGCUAAGCCAUUAUUUAUUGAGAAUCUAGUUCGCCAUCGUAGAAGAGCUGUUUGUUUGUGUUGUUAGUGGUUCGGGGGGCAGCCUUUAUGCGCAUGCUCGCCUCUUCUUCUUCUGGAUUUGUGCACCAGAAGCAGCGCCCCUUAUGGGCCUGGAAUGUUUACUACAGCGUUUCUACAGAUCUAUCCGGUUUCGCUUGGCUUCGUCUUUACGGAGAUACUUCGAAACCGGAUAGAUCGAAACCGUAACGGUUUCGCCCGUUUCGGCUUCGUGUGGACGGGGCCAGAGCUAUAGAGAGAGAGAGUUGCGACACUUCCAUUGGACUCCGUUGUAGCGCCUACUUCCGGGGUAUGGAGCCUCGAAUAGUUCCAAACAACCAUUUUACGGCGUAGGAGACCGUUCAUUUCCAUUGCUGGCCGCCGAGUAACUUCUGAGGGUGAUGUUCAGCACAUGAAGCCCUACAGAUGCCGCCGAUUCAACAAUGCUGAUUAUGAUGGGCGGUCAAUUUAACCUUUGCCUUAUUAGGUCCUCCACAGUCGCCCCAUCAGUCCCUGGCAGUCUGGUCCCUGGAGCAGCUGGCCCUGGCAAAAGUUAUUCCUUCACUGUUGACCCCUGACUGACUGGCCCUCGGCACACAAAUCCCUGGAUCACCUGCCCCUGAAUCACCUGCCCCUGAAUCACCUGCCCCUGGCAAUGUGGCCUCUUGAUUGCUCUCUCUGUCUCCUGUGAUGUCCUUUUCAACGCUCUUGAAAUCCACCUAAAUUUCUCCCUCAAUCUCUGUAACAAUUACAAGGUAAUGUUGCUGUUAUAUGUAUUUUGCCUUUGCAUUUGCAACUAAUGUCAUCUCCAAUGUAAGAAAAUGAAUUAAAGCAAAACAUUUCUGUAAUGUGAAUUAAAUCAUCUGCCACAAUCAGAAACCAAUACAAUUUAUAAAUGGAUCUACCGGCAAUUGUUAAUUGGGUAGAAAUGUGUCGAUUAUCUACAUUGUGUGCAAAUCCUCAGAGAAUCCCUGCCUUCUGGUUGUUUUUUAAACUGAAUGUACAAAUAUGAAUUAUGUAAUCUCAUUAGGAGUGUAGUCUAUCCUUGAAUUACAUAAAAUGGGUAAUAUUGUUAGCUGCAUGGAUCAUACCGAAGUUUAAUUUGGCGCAAUAUGUGUGGUCCGUUGCACUUGGUUCCGGAGGCACCCUCACAGAUGGGGGUUUCCUCCUCUUCGGUUUAGGGCGAUGGAUGAAAACUGUUGGGCCUGCAUCGGGCCUCAACUUCAACAUCCUAUCUACUUUUGUGGCUUUGAAUUGGUCAUUUUCAAAGUGUACCUGUAGGUAGGCUUGUAAGAUCAGUUUCCAUUGCACUUCAAAUAUCAUUGGAAAGUCAUAAUUCUCUACACUUAGAAUUAUUAUGCCCUUUGAAAUGCUAGCAAGUGAUCUGAACAUUACGUUACAUCGUUUUUGACUGUUGCUGACUGUCAAUAAGUUUUGACGGCUGACCGUUGCCAUCCACUUCUCCCUGCGCUCUUGGUCCUUGGGGAAGCCGUGAUAACCCUUCUCGGACCGAUUGGAGCAUCCAAAUGCUGCACAGCCAACCAUGGUAUGACCAUUGAUCUAUAAAAUGUUAGUUGUAACCAAUGAACCAUGACACCAUUGAAGAUCACAGAGCGGGUAACAACUGUUCCUCAACCACUUAUGCCCCGACUUUUGAGAAUAGGUUAGAGGUCAGAGUUCAUGACAAAACGAGGAUCCUCCCUCCUAAACCCAUUUUGAAUUUGCUCAGGGCUAUUCUAAGUAUUGUAAUGGCAUAAAGUAUAGUAUAUUUGCAACGUUAUAUGUUAAUGGUUUGCCCUAAGUAUAUAGUGUUCCCUGCUGUGUCCAUUGUUGAAUCUGAUCACACAAUCGCAAUCACUUGUUCUUGUCACACUAAUUGUUUAAUAAAAAAAAAUACAAUUUCAUUCA